AACGAACGCUGGCGGCGCGCCUAAUACAUGCAAGUCGAGCGAGAAGACGUAGCAAUACGUUUGUAAAGCGGCGAACGGGUGAGGAAUACAUGGGCAACCUACCCUCGAGUGGGGAAUAACUAGCCGAAAGGUUAGCUAAUACCGCGUACGCUCCUUGGACUUCGGUUCAGGGAGGAAAGCGAUACCGUGGGUAUCGCGCUCUUGGUUGGGCUCAUGUCCUAUCAGCUUGUUGGUGAGGAACGGCUCACCAAGGCUUCGACGGGUAGCUGGUCUGAGAGGACGAUCAGCCACACUGGCACUGCGACACGGGCCAGACUCCUACGGGAGGCAGCAGUAAGGAAUAUUGCGCAAUGGGCGAAAGCCUGACGCAGCGACGCCGCGUGGGGGAGU
rnacentral:rRNA from 1 species